rnacentral:rRNA from 1 species
GACGAACGCUGGCGGCGUGCCUAAUACAUGCAAGUCGAGCGGAUCUUCAUUAGCUUGCUUUUGAAGAUCAGCGGCGGACGGGUGAGUAACACGUGGGCAACCUGCCUGUAAGACUGGGAUAACUUCGGGAAACCGGAGCUAAUACCGGAUAAUCCUUUUCCUCUCAUGAGGAAAAGCUGAAAGUCGGUUUCGGCUGUCACUUACAGAUGGGCCCGCGGCGCAUUAGCUAGUUGGUGAGGUAACGGCUCACCAAGGCGACGAUGCGUAGCCGACCUGAGAGGGUGAUCGGCCACACUGGGACUGAGACACGGCCCAGACUCCUACGGGAGGCAGCAGUAGGGAAUCUUCCGCAAUGGACGAAAGUCUGACGGAGCAACGCCGCGUGAGCGAUGAAGGCCUUCGGGUCGUAAAGCUCUGUUGUCAGGGAAGAAUAAGUAUCGGAGUAACUGCCGGUACCUUGACGGUACCUGACCAGAAAGCCACGGCUAACUACGUGCCAGCCGCCGCGGUAAAAC